AUGAUUCGCGGAGCUUGUCGGUACCAUCAUAACCAGUUCUAUUUUGGAGAUGAAGAAACUGAGCAACAAGGACAAGUGGUGGCUCCAGACUGUCUGAAGACAGGAGUCUGUCAAGUGUCUGCUUUAAGAAAUCAGGUGUGCUGGCUGCUCCUAACUCUCAGAAGAAUGGGGAAGGGAGAUAAAGUGAUGCCCAGCCCAGCCCACAGGACACCUCCCCGCUCCAAGCCCUGUUCCUUACAUGCUGUCAUUGCUGAACACGGCUAG
rnacentral:lncRNA from 1 species